rnacentral:lncRNA from 1 species
GAAAGCAAGUGUGGGGGAAGUGAUUCUUGUGUGUGUGUGUGUGUGUGCCAAAGUCCUUAAUAAGGCACGGGUAGAAAAGAAAAAAAAAGAAAUUGAAAAAAAAAAAGUAUGAAAAAGAGCUCUUAAAGUGUUUGUUUGUUAAAGAAAGGAUUCAAAACAUUGAAUUCGGCCCUAAGUGUUGCAUGAAUCUUCCCCUUUGCAUUUAAAAGUUGAUUAUGCAUUCUAAAGUGAUUUCCAAGUGUCUAUUUCAUUGCUUUGCUUGCUAUCGCUUUAAGAACGUUUGUUAUCCUUAUCCUUUCUUUGUUAGCCAUUACCCCCAAGCCCUGUUACAACCCUUGACUUCAAUCUUGAGUGUUGUGUGUUUCAAUUUGUGGAGUUCAAAAUUGGUAUGAGCAUAUGGUGUUACUGGUUCUCGCAUCUAAGUAGUAGCAUUCCAUUCAUGAGAUCAUAUCUAAACAUGCUUAAUAACUCCAGAAAAUUGCUUUCUUUGUUAUAACAUAUGUGAGUCCUAGUCUUUCGUGUUUACAUCAAUCUUCUCACAUAUACCAGUGUAGGGUGUGUAGUCAAAAAAUGUGUGUGAAAAUAGAGAGUAUCUUGUAAGGAAUUAAGCAAAUUCUCUAAGGCAUGUUACUACAUUCAAAACAUCGUUUUAAUUGGUUAAUUGUGAACUAGUAAGUGGUGACUGUGAUUAAGUAUGUGCUCAAGUGUAAAGAUGACCAAAAUCUGUGGGAAUGAUGAUUUUUAACAUGUCAUAUUUCAUUAAAAAUCCCUGAGGCAAAUGUUGGAAGGUCUAGGUUGUGUUUUGUUUGUUUCGUUUGUUUUAUUUUGCUCGAG